AAAGUUAGAGGUUCGAAGGCGAUCAGAUACCGCCCUAGUUCUAACCAUAAACGAUGCCAGCCAGCGAUCCGGCUGUGUUCCUCAAAUGACACGCCGGGCAGCUUCCGGGAAACCAAAGCUUUUGGGUUCCGGGGGAAGUAUGGUUGCAAAGCUGAAACUUAAAGGAAUUGACGGAAGGGCACCACCAGGAAUGGAGCCUGCGGCUUAAUUUGACUCAACGCGCGUAAGCUCACCGGGCCAGGACACAGGAAGGAUUGACAGAUUAAGAGCUCUUUCUUGAUUCUGUGGGUGGUGGUGCAUGGCCGUUCUUAGUUGGUGGAGUGAUUUGUCUGGUUAAUUCCGAUAACGAGCGAGACUCUAGCCUGCUAAAUAGACGUUCCGAUCCUCUGCGUCGGACGUUCUUCUUAGAGGGACAAGCGGCGUCUAGCCGCACGAGACAGAGCAAUAACAGGUCUGUGAUGCCCUUAGAUGUCCUGGGCCGCACGCGCGCUACAUUGAAGGAACCAGCGUGUGCUUUCCCUGUCCGACAGGACUGGGUAACCCGUUGAACCUCCUUCGUGCUGGGGAUAGGGGCCUGUAAUUGUUCCCCUUGAACGAGGAAUUCCCAGUAAGCACGAGUCAUCAUCUCGUGUUGAUUAAGUCCCUGCCCUUUGUACACACCGCCCGUCGCUACUACCGAUUGAAUGAUUUAGUGAGGUCUUCGGACUGGCGCUCGGAGCGGCCCCCGGGUCGCGCCGGCGUGCCGGAAAGAUGACCAAACUUGAUCAUU
rnacentral:rRNA from 1 species